AAAUUGAAGAGUUUGAUCAUGGCUCAGAUUGAACGCUGGCGGCAGGCCUAACACAUGCAAGUCGAACGGUAACAGGAAGCAGCUUGCUGCUUUGCUGACGAGUGGCGGACGGGUGAGUAAUGUCUGGGAAACUGCCCGAUGGAGGGGGAUAACUACUGGAAACGGUAGCUAAUACCGCAUAACGUCGCAAGACCAAAGAGGGGGACCUUAGGGCCUCUUGCCAUCGGAUGUGCCCAGAUGGGAUUAGCUAGUAGGUGGGGUAAUGGCUCACCUAGGCGACGAUCCCUAGCUGGUCUGAGAGGAUGA
rnacentral:rRNA from 1 species